rnacentral:lncRNA from 1 species
GAUCAGGUUUACAUUAAAAACAUCUGGAUCAGGUUCGUUUAUCACCUGCUUUUUACCAAGAUUUGAUCAAAGUUUCACACUCCUGUGUAGGUCGAUUUGCACAUCAACGGCCAUCACAUAAUUAUGCCCAUGCAAGUUGAAAUUAUUUAUUCUUCGGAUGCAUAAGUAGGCAUAUGUACCACGGAUGCAUGUUAUGAUUGUUGAGAUCCGAGGAUUCAUGCAUGGAAGGUGCGUACGAGUACAUUAGCAGACGAUCAUCAGUAAAAAAGAGGCUCCUUACACUCAAUAGUAAGAACUAGCAGAAAGAGGCUCUUUACAAAGGAUCAUCAGUACCAGCAAGUAGACAGAGAAGCGGGAGCCUGGAUAGGCCAAUGGUUUGCUAUAGCGGCAAGAGUUUCUGCACAAGAGAAGAUGCAAGCUACGUAAUGCAUACAAUCUCUCCUACGUGAACUCAAUGUUUUUUAAUCAGCUUCGUGCCUUUUUCAAUCACCAUGCUUAAAGAAUCUGUUUGGUCAUAUCCUUAUACGGAUGACGUACAUGCAAGCAUAUGCUCACACAUCAUUCAUGCAUCCUUGCAACUACAAUCGAUAGGAGAAUUAUUUAGGCUAUACGAUGCUUAGUGUACCCACCCAUUUAGCGUAAGUACAUCACUUAAUUUUCGUUACAUCAAAAUUAUUAAUUCAUAAACCUUUAAUAUGAUGUAGAAGUUCCCAUGUUCACUUCAUUAUAAGCUUACAACUGCAUAUCUCAUCUAAUCAAUGAGUACAGACUAUAGUUUUCUUUAUUUUUGCCUGCAAUUUAAUUGUCUGUUCCUUGAACACACAACCAGAUGUAAGGACAUAGUGGUUCCAGGUUUACAAGGAAAACCAUCCAAACUGAAAAGAGCAUACACCUUAUGAUUACUAUUUGUCUCUCACCUGCUCUAUGUAACAAAAUUAUUAUUUGACUUAUUUAAAUGAUUUAUUCCAACCACGUUGAUACCUCAAUUGUGUGAACCAAAAGUCUAAAUUGCAAAGUCCCUUCGACCUGAAAUGCUAAAGAAGAAUGAUGUGUCAUAAUGAACAGUGUAUUGGGUAAUCCACCAGUUCUCGACAUACUAAUUUGCAAAAAUCAUAUAGUAGUAUUGCUACUUACAGUGGUAUGAUCCAAAAGCAUCCCUUAAAUAGUUAUAAUUUAGCUUUUAUUGUUGUUAUUUUUGAUAGGAUAUAUAAGUUGUUUUAAAGAAGUCAUCAUGUCUUCAAUUCACGAAAGGUAUAUCUCGGUUCUCUCGCUGUAUCUACAUAGUUUUUUUUACAAGAACACACGGAAGAUCUAAGCUGCACAGCCGAAGAUAAAAAAAUUACAUAGGCUUUGAUAGUUGUAGUGUUCUAACUAUAUUUUCCUAUGGAUAUUAUGCACUGUUCUAAAGUUUCCUGGAUAUAUCCCUAUUACUCUCCCUAUUUCUUAAAAACCAUUUCACAAGGACUAAUUUCUUCUGUUACAAUUGAAAAUUAUAUACUUAAAAACUAUGCUAAAUAACUUAUUACACAGUAGAAAAUAUGUGUGUCAUAACUUUUAAAUUGUACUUAUCAACACUACAUUAAUUACUAUUAUAUUAUAUUUACUCCCUCUGAUUCAAAUUAAUUGACACACACUUAGUACAACUUCUAUAAUUCAAUUGGAGGGAGUAUUACUUUUGCUUGGACCAGUAUCCUACGUGAAGAGAGACGAGAUACUAAACAUAGGUAUGUACCUAUUGUGCCAAUCCAGUGGUAUAUGUACUACAUGAUGUAACAAAUGUGCAUUAUGCCCAAUGUUGCCCCAUUCACUAAAUAGUGGAAGCUAGCAUUCACUACCGAGAGCAACAACUUUACCCUACAUCACGUAAAAUAGACUGGACGUGGCGGCCCUUGAAGAACUAAUCAAAAUAUAAUACUAAUGGAUGAGAAAUUACAAAUUGAGAUGAUUUAUCAAUAUAUUGAUGGCUACUCCUUUCCUAUUUACAACAUACAUACAUGUUUGUUAGCCAUUCACUCUUGCACAAGAUGUCUAUAUGUUGUUUGUCUAAUUACUGCCAUAAAACGGCGAUUGUUUUCUCGAAACAUGGAUGCACUAGAUAUAUGUUUCCCACUCUUUGGACUUUUUUCAAAUAGAAUAUGCAUUGUAUAUUUAAUACCAGGUCAAAAAAUUAGUACAUGUCAUUUACUUUUACGCUGCUAUGAUAAUUUGCAUUUGUGCAGUUUAGGAUAUAUCAAAAAUCUAUCUUUAGGUUUCUAUGAUAUCUAUAUUUAUAAUAGCUAGCCCGUGCAGUUGCACGGGUUAAUGAUCUUAAUGGAUCAAAUUUUUGUUCCUCAUCUUGAUCAGGUUUACAUUAAAAACAUCUGGAUCAGGUUCGUUUCUCACCUGUUUUUACCAAGAUUUGAUCAAAGUUUCACACUCCUUUUUUCUGAUUUGUGCAUUGAAUAAACUUCAAAAUCUGUGUUCCUUAGAUCUGUUGUAUUAAUGUUCUUCUUUCUUUGUUUUUUGUAAUUUAGGUUCUAAAACAAUGGCGACAACACAAAAGAAACCGGGAAAGUAUGUGGACACAGAUUGAUAUAUUAGUUCACAUUAUUGACGCAGUUUUUAGUUUCUUUCCAAGAUAAUUGGUGUAGUUGAUUGAUUGCUUGACCAAAGCAUUCAACGUCACAAACUGGUUAAAAGUGGACCAAUUCUUGGGUUCCAAGUUCCAAUUAUUAUUCAGAUGAUAUAUGUAGUUG